AGCGCAUACGGUGGAUGCCUUGGCAGUCAGAGGCGAUGAAAGACGUGGUAGCCUGCGAAAAGCUUCGGGGAGUCGGCAAACAGACUUUGAUCCGGAGAUCUCUGAAUGGGGGAACCCACCUAGGAUAACCUAGGUAUCUUGUACUGAAUCCAUAGGUGCAAGAGGCGAACCAGGGGAACUGAAACAUCUAAGUACCCUGAGGAAAAGAAAUCAACCGAGAUUCCCUUAGUAGUGGCGAGCGAACGGGGAUUAGCCCUUAAGCUUCAUUGAUUUUAGCGGAACGCUCUGGAAAGUGCGGCCAUAGUGGGUGAUAGCCCCGUACGCGAAAGGAUCUUUGAAGUGAAAUCGAGUAGGACGGAGCACGAGAAACUUUGUCUGAACAUGGGGGGACCAUCCUCCAAGGCUAAAUACUACUGACUGACCGAUAGUGAACCAGUACCGUGAGGGAAAGGCGAAAAGAACCCCGGAGAGGGGAGUGAAAUAGAACCUGAAACCGUAUGCGUACAAGCAGUGGGAGCCUACUUGUUAGGUGACUGCGUACCUUUUGUAUAAUGGGUCAGCGACUUAUAUUCAGUGGCAAGCUUAACCGUAUAGGGUAGGCGUAGCGAAAGCGAGUCUUAAUAGGGCGUUUAGUCGCUGGGUAUAGACCCGAAACCGGGCGAUCUAUCCAUGAGCAGGUUGAAGGUUAGGUAACACUGACUGGAGGACCGAACCCACUCCCGUUGAAAAGGUAGGGGAUGACUUGUGGAUCGGAGUGAAAGGCUAAUCAAGCUCGGAGAUAGCUGGUUCUCCUCGAAAGCUAUUUAGGUAGCGCCUCAUGUAUCACUCUGGGGGGUAGAGCACUGUUUCGGCUAGGGGGUCAUCCCGACUUACCAAACCGAUGCAAACUCCGAAUACCCAGAAGUGCCGAGCAUGGGAGACACACGGCGGGUGCUAACGUCCGUCGUGAAAAGGGAAACAACCCAGACCGCCAGCUAAGGUCCCAAAGUUGUGGUUAAGUGGUAAACGAUGUGGGAAGGCUUAGACAGCUAGGAGGUUGGCUUAGAAGCAGCCACCCUUUAAAGAAAGCGUAAUAGCUCACUAGUCGAGUCGGCCUGCGCGGAAGAUGUAACGGGGCUCAAACCACACACCGAAGCUGCGGGUGUCACGCAAGUGACGCGGUAGAGGAGCGUUCUGUAAGCCUGUGAAGGUGAGUUGAGAAGCUUGCUGGAGGUAUCAGAAGUGCGAAUGCUGACAUGAGUAACGACAAUGGGUGUGAAAAACACCCACGCCGAAAGACCAAGGGUUCCUGCGCAACGUUAAUCGACGCAGGGUUAGUCGGUUCCUAAGGCGAGGCUGAAAAGCGUAGUCGAUGGGAAACAGGUUAAUAUUCCUGUACUUCUGGUUACUGCGAUGGAGGGACGGAGAAGGCUAGGCCAGCUUGGCGUUGGUUGUCCAAGUUUAAGGUGGUAGGCUGAAAUCUUAGGUAAAUCCGGGGUUUCAAGGCCGAGAGCUGAUGACGAGUCGUCUUUUAGAUGACGAAGUGGUUGAUGCCAUGCUUCCAAGAAAAGCUUCUAAGCUUCAGGUAACCAGGAACCGUACCCCAAACCGACACAGGUGGUCGGGUAGAGAAUACCAAGGCGCUUGAGAGAACUCGGGUGAAGGAACUAGGCAAAAUGGCACCGUAACUUCGGGAGAAGGUGCGCCGGCUAGGGUGAAGGAUUUACUCCGUAAGCUCUGGCUGGUCGAAGAUACCAGGCCGCUGCGACUGUUUAUUAAAAACACAGCACUCUGCAAACACGAAAGUGGACGUAUAGGGUGUGACGCCUGCCCGGUGCCGGAAGGUUAAUUGAUGGGGUUAGCGCAAGCGAAGCUCUUGAUCGAAGCCCCGGUAAACGGCGGCCGUAACUAUAACGGUCCUAAGGUAGCGAAAUUCCUUGUCGGGUAAGUUCCGACCUGCACGAAUGGCGUAACGAUGGCGGCGCUGUCUCCACCCGAGACUCAGUGAAAUUGAAAUCGCUGUGAAGAUGCAGUGUAUCCGCGGCUAGACGGAAAGACCCCGUGAACCUUUACUGUAGCUUUGCACUGGACUUUGAGCCUGCUUGUGUAGGAUAGGUGGGAGGCUUUGAAGCGUGGACGCCAGUUCGCGUGGAGCCAUCCUUGAAAUACCACCCUGGCAUGCUUGAGGUUCUAACUCUGGUCCGUAAUCCGGAUCGAGGACAGUGUAU
rnacentral:rRNA from 1 species